GUGGGAGGGGGCUUGCCCCCGAUUACAGUGUGUCAGUCAAUAAAUAUCUAUCUGAUCCACCGCCAUCGGGGGCAAGCCCCCUCCCAC
rnacentral:misc_RNA from 1 species